AAUGAACGCUGGCGGCGUGCGUAACACAUGCAAGUCGAACGUGAAAGUCCCCUUCGGGGGAUGAGUAAAGUGGCAAACGGGUGAGUAACACGUGGGUAACCUGCCCUCUGGUGGGGGAUAACCCUGCGAAAGCGGGGCUAAUACCGCAUAACAAGUCGCUAAAUAAUUAGUCGACUUCAAAGCCUUCGGGCGCUAGAGGAGGGGCCCGCGUCCCAUUAGCUAGUUGGUAGGGUAACGGCCUACCAAGGCUGCGAUGGGUAGCCGGCCUGAGAGGGUGUCCGGCCACACUGGAACUGAGACACGGUCCAGACUCCUACGGGAGGCAGCAGUGGGGAAUUUUGCGCAAUGGGCGAAAGCCUGACGCAGCGACGCCGCGUGGGUGAUGAAGUUCUUCGGAACGUAAAGCCCUGUCAGGAGGGACGAAGCUCUGACGGUACCUCCAAAGGAAGCCCCGGCUAACUCCGUGCCAGGAGCCGCGGUAAUCUGUAGUCGU
rnacentral:rRNA from 1 species